CCCUGGUUAGCUCAGUUGGUAGAGCGCUCCACGUGUAAUGGAGAGGUCCCGGGUUCGAUACCUGGACCAGGCG
rnacentral:tRNA from 1 species